UACGUAGGGUGCGAGCGUUAAUCGGAAUUACUGGGCGUAAAGCGUGCGCAGGCGGUUAUUUAAGUCAGGUGUGAAAGCCCCGGGCUUAACCUAGGAAUUGCGCUUGAGACUGGAUAGCUUGGAGUGCGGCAGAGGGAGGUGGAAUUCCACGUGUAGCAGUGAAAUGCGUAGAGAUGUGGAGGAACACCGAUGGCGAAGGCAGCCUCCUGGGCCAGCACUGACGCUCAUGCACGAAAGCGUGGGGAGCAAACAGG
rnacentral:rRNA from 1 species